CUAACUUCGGAGUGAGUACUAAGCUCGGGAUAUCUGACGGUAUCCGAGUAAAAGCCUGACUAACUCUCGUGCCAGCUAGUCGCGGUAAAACGGAGAGGGCAAGUGUUAUUCGUAUUGACUGGGUGUAAAGGGUACGUAGUGCGGUUAUUUAAGUUAUAAAAAAAAAACUAUAUCUUUUAUAAUACUAUAUGACUAGAGUUAAAAAGGGGAUGGCGGUACCUCCAGUUUAGAAGUGACAUUCGUUUGAGAUUGGGGGGACCAACAAUAGUGCUGAUGGCUGCUUUCCAUUUUUAUACUGACGCUGAGGUACGAAAGCAUUGGGGAGCGAACAGGAUUAGAGACCCUGGUAGUCCAUGCCCUGACCUAUGAAUAUUAAUCGUCCAUUUAGAUAGUGGAUGACUAAGCUAACGCGAAAAUAUUCCACCUGAGUGACUACGUGCCGCAAGGUUAAAACUCAAAGAAAUUGGCGGACAGAUCGUUUAAGCGGUGGAAC
rnacentral:rRNA from 1 species